GACGAACGCUGGCGGCGUGCCUAAUACAUGCAAGUCGAACGCUAAAGCAGUACCUUGCUCUUCUGGAUGAGUUGCGAACGGGUGAGUAACGCGUAGGUAACCUGCCUUGUAUCUUGGGAUAACUUUUGGAAACGAUAGCUAAUACCGCAUAAGAGUCGAUGUUGCAUGGCAUUUGCUUAAAAGUUGCACUUGCCUCGCUACCAUAUGGCGCUGCGGUGUUUUAUCUUGUUGGUGGGGUAACGGCUCACCAAGGCGGCGAUACAUAGGCGACCUGAGAGGGAGGUUAGCCACACUGGGAAUGAGACAAGGCCCAGACUGCCUCGGGGAGGAGCAGGAGGGAAACGUAGGAAAUGGGGGGAAAGCAGACCGAGAAAGGCCGCGGGAGUGAAGAAGGGUUUCGGAUGGUAAAGGUCUGUUGUAAGGGAAGAAAGAGCGUGAGAGUGGAAAGUUGACGCUGUGACGGUAUCUGACGAGAAAGGAACGGCUAACUACGUG
rnacentral:rRNA from 1 species